CCCCCCCCUCCUCCCACCCCCCCCCGUCAAGCCUUUGGCAUCAUUAUCCUCAUCACUAAAUCCUACAGAGUACAGGGCGGAAAACGGUGCACAC
rnacentral:lncRNA from 1 species